AGAGUUUGAUCAUGGCUCAGGACGAACGCUGGCGGCGUGCCUAAUACAUGCAAGUCGAACGCUUCUCUUUUCACCGGAGCUUGCUCCUUGGGUGACGAGUGGCGGACGGGUGAGUAAUGUCUGGGAAACUGCCCGAUGGAGGGGGAUAACUACUGGAAACGGUAGCUAAUACCGCAUAACGUCGCAAGACCAAAGAGGGGGACCUUCGGGCCUCUUGCCAUCGGAUGUGCCCAGAUGGGAUUAGCUAGUAGGUGGGGUAACGGCUCACCUAGGCGACGAUCCCUAGCUGGUCUGAGAGGAUGACCAGCCACACUGGAACUGAGACACGGUCCAGACUCCUACGGGAGGCAGCAGUGGGGAAUAUUGCACAAUGGGCGCAAGCCUGAUGCAGCCAUGCCGCGUGUAUGAAGAAGGCCUUCGGGUUGUAAAGUACUUUCAGCGAGGAGGAAGGCGUUGUGGUUAAUAACCGCAGCGAUUGACGUUACUCGCAGAAGAAGCACCGGCUAACUCCGUGCCAGCCGCCGCGGUAAUUC
rnacentral:rRNA from 1 species